GGUGUGUGUCUGUGCCGUAGCCGCCGCCGCCGCCGCCUGUAGCUGAGGCUGGCAUCGCCGAGCCCCCGCGCGGGGGGCUGCCGCCCGAGCUCCUGAUUGACAGGCCGCCUCGCCAAUGCCUGGAGGGAGAAAGGAGACAGACAGCAAGAAGAAACAAAACCAGAGGAGAAGAAUGGAGCUGGAUUGUCUCUGAAGACCUUCAGGCUACAGAGAAGCUGCACUCGUAAUGCAGAGAAUGCAGCUGGAGGAGCUCUUUGAUUUAACUGUUGUUACUGAAAUCUGUGUAGCAUCAAGUGAUUUAGAGCAGGGAGUUAUCUUAGAAUUCUGGAAAGAUUCAAGAAUGCAUGUCUUCCUACCAGAUCGUAAGCUUGUCAGGGCCACAUCUGUCCUGCUUACUGCUGAAUCCCAGCUGGCAGAACAUAGACAUUUCAUAAUAUUUUUGGAGCAAAAGCAUCAAUCGGACUACCAUGUGUAAAGGCCGGCACAGGAUGAAGGAACAGUGUGGUGACUUGGGACGCCAUGCCAUGCUGCUGCAACCAUGUCUGUCUGUGGCUCUGUGUGUGUGCUCUGCACCUCUAGAUGAACUCAUCAAACAGCAUCUAUGGAAAAGCCCAUGGAACUCUCGCUGCCAGGCCAAGGUGAUUACAAUAGACGGGGUUUCGCCAUGUUGACCAGGCUGGUCUUGAACUCCUGAGCUCAAGUGAUGCAAACGCCUCAGCCUCCCAAAGAGUUGGAAUUAUAGGCAUGAUCCACCAUACCCAGCCUAUAUUUCUAAGGUACUGAACUCUAAAUGUUGGCAUUAUUUGUCAGAGGUACCCAGAAAAUGUUCUGAUAGUCUAAAAAGAACUAACCUUGAAAAGCAAAUAAAAAUUUCUAAGCACUUCAUGCAGUGUUUGGUACUUGAUAAAUAUUUGUUAAGUAUUUGUAGACAUGAGCAAGCAAAUUGGAUAUGACAAAUUAGCAUCACAAUUAGGUAGUAGGGGCAGAUCCAGUUUUGUGGAACCUGAAGCUUAUAAAAUUUGGAAGCUCCCUUUGAAAAAGAAAUACAAAAUCAUCCACAUAAAAUUAGGCAUAAGGCCAGGCACAAUGGCUCAUGCCUCUAAUCCCAGCACUUUGGGAGUCUGAGGUAGGAUUGCUUGAGUCCAGUUUGUGGCCAGCCUGAGCAAUAUAGCAAGACCUUGUUCUCAAAAAAAUAAAAAAAAUUAGCCUGGCAUGGUGGCAUGUGCCUCUAGUCCUACCUACUUGAGAGGCUGAGAUGGGAGGAUUGCCUGAGCCCAAAAGUUUGAGGCUGCAGUGAGCUAUGAUUGUGCCACUGCAUUCCAGCCUAGGUGACACAGGGAUACCCUGUCCCUACAAAAAUAAAUAAAAUAAGUAAAGUAAAAUAUAAUUGGACAUUAAAGUGAGUAUUUAUUUAGAAUGAGAAAAUAAAUCACUAUAAAUUUUUUUCAGCUUUAUUUGAAGUAUAAUUGACAAAAAGUGAAUGAGUAUAUUUACUGUAUAUAACAUGAUGUGUUGAUAUAGGUAUGUGCUGUAUGUCAUUCUCUUCUGCUUAAAGCACACCUUCUCAUCCUCUUCAUCCAACCAAUCAUUCAUCUUUCAAAAUGCUCCUCAUCUAUCACCCCUUCAAGGAGGCCUUCCCUGACACUCCCAAAGGCUGGGUUAGGUCCCACCGCGUAUGCUCCCAAGACAUCAUCUGUACCGUGACACUUACUGCAUUGACUGGCUGGCUAUUCAUCUUCUGAAUUCCCAACAGCUGCAGCAUAGGUCCUAAAAGAGAGGACCUAUGUCUUUUAUCUUUAUAUUUCAGUGUUUAGUGCCCAGUAAACAUACAAUAGCUGUUUGUUGAAUGAGUAAAUGAGAUUUAUUGACUUUAUUUGGCAUCAAACAAGUCCAAACCCUAGUGAUCUCAAAUCCGUCAUCAUAUUCUGCACAAACUGAUUGAAUAUCGAUCCCCUGCCAUUGCUUCAAGUUUAAAAAAAAAAACCUUUUGAAAAUAUGAUGUGCAGGAUCGGGCACAGUGGCUCACGCCUAUAAUCCCAGCACUUUGGGAGGCCAAGGCAGGCCAGUUUCCUGAACUCAGGAAUUCGAGACCAGCAUGGGCAACAGAGUGAAACUCAGUAUCUACUAAAAUACAAAAAAUUAUCAGGGUGUGGCAGCAGGCACCUGUAGUCCCAGCUACUUGGGAGACUAAGGCAGGACAAUUGCUUGAACCCAGGAGGCGGAGGUUGCAGUGAGCCGAGAUCAUGUCACUGCACUCCAGCCUGGGAGACAGAGCAAGAUUCCAUCUAAAAAAAAAAACAAAAAAGAAAAUAUUGUGUGCAGCUAUAAAACAACAAAACUGGUUCUAUAGUACAUGCAUAAAUAUCAGGCUCAUUAUUUUAUAAUCAUCCUUUAUAAAUGAAAAUUUGAAAUGACUGAGCUGCAGUCAGACUUGAACACAGGCUUCAAGAAUUAUAACUUCAUUUCCUACUAUAAAAUUAAUUGUUUCCAUUGAAAACAUUGGAAAGAAACAGGCUGGUCUAGAGAAGACUUGAAAAAAUAUUUGAUUUCAUUUCUGUUAAAACUUUACCUGGUUUGUCCCUAUGUCUUAAUCUCCAAGUUCUGUUUUCAGUGGAAUCCAUAUCUGUGUCAUCCGAGACUUACUGUUGACAUCAACGUGCUGCAUACAUAAGACUCUACUCAAUUUAUUUAAUUCCACAAAAGUUUACUGAAUAUUUUCUAUUCUAAUUUUGCCAGCAUUACGAUCAGGUUAUAGGAGUCAAGGUUUUGUAGGCAAUAUUUUGUUUUCUAGUCAUUCAUUUCUCUUUCUUUCCUUUUUUUUUUUUUUUUUUUGAGAUGGAGUUUUGCUCUUGUUGCCCAGGCUGGAGUGCAGUGUUGCAAUCUCAGCUCAUUGCAACCUCUACCUCCCAGGUUCAAGCAAUUCUCCUGCCUCAGCUUUCCAAGUAGCGGGGGCUACAGGCUCCCGCCACCAUGCCCGGCUAGUUUUUGUAUUUUUAAUAGAAACAGGUUUCACCAUGUUGGCCAGACUGGCCUCAAACUUCUGACCUCAGGUGAUCCCACCCACCUCGGCCUCCCAAAUUUCUGAGAUUACAGGCAUGAGCCACCGAGCCUGGCCCAUUUCUUUAUUCAACAAAUUAUGUGAAGCUUUCACUGUAAGUUCAUAAGACGUUGUUCUAAUUGACAUAGAAGGAAAAAAGGAUCGAUAGAUUUCUGAUUUUAUGGGAAUCAUAAUUUAAUUAGGGAGAUAAGAUAUGCAGACAUAACAUGUUUACCAUCAACACUAAAGUUUAAUAGCAACAUGAGCCAAUUAUGUAAGAACUCUCCUAUGAUCACAUCAUCCCGGGCUCUGCCAGGCUCUCCCUGGGUUGGUGGUUUCAGCCUCACAGGAAGCCAGGUUGUGCUAGAAAGAAAGUUUCAGAAACAGGCUAGUGUUUGAAAAUGGCGCAAGUUCCUAGCCUCAGUUGCUUCAUUUUAUGUACUCAUAGAAUUCUGAGGAAAUGUAUGUCUCCCUGUUUAACUCUCUCUUCUGCGUAGAAAAUGCCCUCAGUGGGCUCAGUGGGUAAGAGUGCCACAGGCGAGCAUAGUAACCCUGACAGUCCCUUACAAGGUUGGCAGAGAAACACAGCUACUACCACUGCUGUGGUCUCUGAGUCUGUUUGUUUGACAUCUGCAACAGGUAUUUUAUUUUAUUUUAUUUGUUUUGAGAUGGAGUCUGGCUCUGUUGCCUAGGCUGGAGUGCAGUAGCGAGAUCUCAGCUCACUGCAACCUCUGCUUCCCGGGUUCAAGCAAUGCUCACUCGGCUCACUGCCUCCCAGGUUCAAGCAAUUCUCCUGCCUCAGCCUCCUAAGUAGCUGGCCUUACAGGCACCUGCCACAACAGCUGACUAAUUUUUGUACUUUUAGUAGAAACAGGGUUUCACAAUGUUGGCCAGGCUGGUCUCAAACUCCUGACCUCAAGUGAUCCACCUGCCUAGGCCUCCCAAAGUGCUAGGAUUAAAAGCAUGAGCCACCACGCCCAGCCCAGAUUUAUUUUUUUAAACGAAUGGAUUUUGAGAGGGAACAAUAUGGGGCAGAAGUAUGGAAUAGAAAAUAAAUACAAAUGUGAGCUGCUUUUCUAGCUGUUUUAUAACCACAACAAACUAGUUCAGAGAAUGCCCUGUACAAAACACAAUAAAGGUUCAAAGAUGAAGGUGUUCCAUUAGCAAGGCUGCAAAUGUCCCUCUCUGGUAUUUGGAACUGAGGCUACAGUCCUUGUUUUUGGAUGGAUCACUGCAUGUGUGGCACAGUCCACGCUUUGGGGAGUUGAGAGGAGUCGCCAGAUUUCUCAGUCUGUAAAGUAUGGCGUUGGUGAUGACAAGAUUUCCACUCUUCUCUGUGGGAUCAGGAAGGGAGUGCAUUCUCCACCCACCACCAAGCUUAAUUGAGGGGAAGAUUUCAAGAAGUUUUGUAGCUUGGGGGUGUCUGCAGCAAAAGGAGAAUGGCAUCUUGCUGACUGGCUGAGCCAUCCCUGGCCACCCAGAAGCUGCUAUUGGAGAAGAAUGGGGUGUGUUGAGUGAGUUAUUGGGGGAACCUAAGCUGAGGGUGGUACUCAACCAUAGAAAUUAGUGCCAUUUCUGGCUCUUGCCUGGAAUCCCAGCACUUUGGGAGACCGAGGCUGGCAGAUCACUUGAGGUCAGGAGUUUGAGAUCAGCCUGGCCAACGUGCUGAAACCCCAUCUCUACUAAAAAUACAAAAAUUAGCUGGGCAUGGUGCUGUAUAAUCCCAGCUACUCAGGAGGCUGAAGCAGGAGAAUCGCUUGAACCCAGGAAGUGGUGGUUGCAGUGAGCUGAGAUGGUGCCACUGGGCAACAGAGUGAGACUCCAGAUAAAAAAAAAAAAGAAAUUAGUGCCACUUCUCUUCAACAAGUGGGGAUAGUAGUGCCCAAACUAGCUGAGGGAAAGAUGUAGGGAAACACCCACAUUCCCAGAGGCUCCUGGAAGAAGUGGAGGAGGACCUCAGUGCUUCCAUGCUUACUGGAAAGAGCAGAAUGUUGGAGGGGGAGCCAGGCCCGAGUGCCCUGGUGAGUUCAGGCAGACAAUGCCUUAGAGAAGUGGCUGAAGGCAUGGAUUCCUGGUGGUGCCCCUUUUUGAGUUGAUCUUUAGAAGCAGUAGUGCUGGGGUGAAGGUGAGCUUUACCUCAGGAAACCACUUCCAUCAUCAGCACAAGAAACUACCACAUAAAGCCAGACCCAAUCAGAAUGAGGCCUGAGAGCCUCCUGCUGUGGUGCCCUCUCCCACCAGAGAAGCCAGCUUUGCGGGUGGGGGCUGGAGAUGUAUUAGAGUAACACCAAGCCCGCACCCUAGUGCCUGUGCUAGGGCAAAGAAAGGGCAAGACAUGAGAUUUGAAGCACCUUUAGGAUAAGCUUGGCUGGGAUUUUAAUAAUCAAAAGUGAUUGCAAGUAAUAAAGUCUGAGGGAUCUGUGGGGACUGCUCCCGUGUGCGGCCCCUAGGAAAUGGGCCUUGCCAUACAGUGAGCUUGAGCCCGGACACAGAUCCCUGGUUGGGGGAGUCAAGCUGAGGGAAAGCAGGAACCGAGAGAGGGACUAUGCUAUUCAAAAUAAUUAACAGACAUUACUUUAUGGAUAUGAGGACUUGGGAGGCAUCGUGUCCACUUUCGGCUCCUUAUGGUUUAUUGCUUGAUUGUGUCCAUUUUGGACCCUUGUUACCUUCAUUGUAAAAUAUUAACUUAAGUAUUUACACUGUAACUUACUUACUAUAACUUACUGGGCAUAACUGUAACUUGCUUACCUUGUGACUUAAGUAUUUACAAUUGUUAAGUACUUACCGGGCGUAACUGACUUACUGGGCUUAACUUACUUACUGGGCAUAACUUAGUGGGUGUAACUUGCUUACUGUAACUUAAGUAUGUUGAUCUGGCAUAAACAACAUUAACUUCAGAAAAGUAUAUAAUGGAACAUAUUGCAAAAAUAAAAUUGCUGCUUGGACAUAGA